rnacentral:rRNA from 1 species
AGAGUUUGAUCAUGGCUCAGGACGAACGCUGGCGGCGUGCUUAACACAUGCAAGUCGAACGAUGAAGGCCGUGCUUGCACGGCUGGAUUAGUGGCGAACGGGUGAGUAACACGUGAGUAACCUGCCCUUCACUCUGGGAUAACCUCGGGAAAUCGGGGCUAAUACCGGAUAUGAGUGUCCACUGCAUGGUGGAUGCUGGAAAGUUUUUCGGUGAAGGAUGGACUCGCGGCCUAUCAGUUUGUUGGUGAGGUAAUGGCUCACCAAGACGAUGACGGGUAGCCGGCCUGAGAGGGCGACCGGCCACACUGGGACUGAGACACGGCCCAGACUCCUACGGGAGGCAGCAGUGGGGAAUAUUGCACAAUGGGCGAAAGCCUGAUGCAGCGACGCCGCGUGAGGGAUGACGGCCUUCGGGUUGUAAACCUCUUUCAGUAGGGAAGAAGCGAAAGUGACGGUACCUGCAGAAGAAGCGCCGGCUAACUACGUGCCAGCAGCCGCGGUAAUAC